UGCUUUGCGCGACCUUCGGAGAGGAUACCGAAUUUCACAACAUUCAUAGAAAAACAGAUAUACAACCCAGGAGAUCUGCAAUAAAACAAACUGCGUUCUCAAAGAAUAAAAUGGGAAAUGGUGUUGCAGAGAGGGAAUUCGGCUGCCAGCGAUAUGACAUACACCAAGGUGGAGAAGAAAAAAUAUCACAAUGUUAAAGAAUGGGGAAUAGAGAAAUGUGCAAAUUGAUUUACCAACAAUCUGAAGUCAUUGGGGCUACUUCCAAACGGAAUUUUGAAAACAACUGCAUCACCUUUGUCUAUUAGUGUCACAUGUUUACAAUACAUUGGCCAUUUAACUUUGACUCAGUUAAAUGCUAGUGUUAGUUGGGCCUUAACUUUCUUCAAAAGCACAGUUUGGUGAGUUUGUUAUCACCCAAGCGAAUGUGCCCAACCAUAUAGGCGACGAGAAAGAAACACUUGCUUUUAUUUUAAAAUGCUGAUUAAA